UACGUUCAGCCGAGAGGCCGGAAGUAGACUUCAUUAUUAGUCGAAGGAACGCAUU
rnacentral:ncRNA from 10 species